rnacentral:rRNA from 1 species
CCUACGGGUGGCUGCAGUGAGGAAUAUUGGUCAAUGGCCGGAAGUCUGAACCAGCCACGCCGCGUGAAGGAAGAAGGCUCCAAGAGUUGUCAACUGCUUUUGUACAAGGGUAAACUCAAACACGUGUACCUAGCCGCAAGUACUGUACGAAUAAGCAUCGGCUAACUCCGUGCCAGCAGCCGCGGUAAUACGGAGGAUGCAAGCGUUAUCCGGAUUUAUUGGGUUUAAAGGGUGCGUAGGCGGAUUGUUAAGUUAGGGGUGAAAGGCCCGGGCUGAACCCGGGACGUGCCUUUGAUACUGGUGGUCUAGAGAGUAGAUGCGGUAGGCGGAAUGUGUGGUGUAGCGGUGAAAUGCUUAGAGAUCGUGCAGAACACCGAUUGCGAAGGCAGCUUACCAAUCGAGAUCUGACGUUGAGGCACGAAAGCGUGGGGAUCGAACAGGAUUAGAUACCCUAGUAGUC